GACGUAGGUGGCAAGCGUUGUCCGGAUUUACUGGGCGUAAAGAGCGCGCAGGCGGUCGGCCAAGUCGGAUGUGAAAGCCCCCGGCCCAACUGGGGAGGGUCAUUCGAUACUGGUCGACUCGAAGGCAGGAGAGGGAAGCGGAAUUCCCGGUGUAGUGGUGUAAUGCGUAGAUAUCGGGAGGAACACCAGUGGCGAAGGCGGCUUCCUGGCCUGUUCUUGACGCUGAGGCGCGAAAGCUAGGGGAGCGAACGGG
rnacentral:rRNA from 1 species